UUCUUCGUUUCUUCAUCGCUCUAUUUAUCUCUCCGCUCUCUUUCUCUCUCGCCUACUCUCUCCUUCUCCCUCUCGGUUCUUGGCUGAAAUUCCAGAAAUUAAUUGGAGAAAAUUCGAAUUCAAGAAGGGGUUUGAAGAAGUGAGGUAUAUGAAACAAAUUUGAGGUUGGAAUUGCAAAUCCCCAAUUCAAUUAUCGACAAAAUUAGGGUUGUGUGAACGAGGGGUUAUGACGAUCAAGUCACAUCGUUGGAAAACUUGGGAAGUCGGUGGUGGCCUCCAGCGGUGGUUACAUCAGAUGGUCGCCGGAAUCGGGCGAAGAAGACGACUAGCUGUCCAGAAAUCGAAUUCCAGCCUUUGGCUCUUCAAAGAAUUAAUUGAACGGAGGCCUUAGAGGGUGAAUCUCGACGACCAGGACCCACGGUUAGAAACCUUGAGAAGUCAGCCUUCCAUAGGUGCAGCGUGCAUACAAGGUGUUUGAUAAAAUACUGGAACCAGACUCCAACUUUGGAGUGCAAAAA
rnacentral:lncRNA from 1 species